CGCCGCGCUGGGCGGGCGUCGCGGGGCCGCGCUUGGUGUUCCAGAGCCGCGGCCGAACUUUUUCCCAAGAAGUCCCACGUUUGGAGGCCGGAGGAGCGAGACGGGGAGGAGAGACUAGAGUUCCUGGAAGGAGCAGCAGCAGCAGCAGCCCCACAACAUGGCCUCCUCCUCCUCCUCCUGUCCCGCGGGCACCGAGGACUCCGCUCCUGCCCAGGUUCGUGGUCUCGCUGACUUCAGGAGUGAAGCCACAGACUUUCGCGGCAGGAAGCAUUGGCAAUAUUACGUGGGCAAAAAC